rnacentral:rRNA from 1 species
AAACAUUUCUAUUAGAAAUAAUUAAUAGUAAAAUCUGCUCAAUGAAAAUUUAAAUAGCCGCAUCACAGUGCUAAGGUAGCAUAAUCAUUUGUCUUUUAAUUAAAGACUAGAACAAAAGAUUCAACUUUUAAAGCAGUUUCUUAUAAUUAAAUAUUAAACUUAUUUUAAAUGUAAAAAAACAUUUAUAAAAAAGAAAGACGAAAAGACCCUAUUGAACUUAACUUUAGUUAAACUGGGGCAGUUAAUUAAUUAUAAUUUUAAUAUAAAUAAUUUAUAAAAAGACCUAAUAAUAUUAAUUACAUAAUCAAGUUACCAUAGGGAUAACAGCGUAAUAUAAUUUUAAAGAUCAUAUUAAAAAUAAAGUUUGCGACCUCGAUGUUGAUUUAAUAAACUAGUUAACGCAAUAGUUAAACUAAGUAAGUCUGUUCGACUUUUAAAAAAUUACAUGAUCU